rnacentral:lncRNA from 1 species
AUGUGUAGAAGCAAAGGAUGGACGCUUGAUUCCAUCUAUUUUAUCUUUGAAUUAUCCAUCCAGGUAAAAUGUUGGACUCUGCACCAUUUCAUCAUUCAAAGAAUAUGGACCAAAAACGUACAGACUGUAACUGCAGCGUAUUUCAUAAAGCAAGCAGGUAUGCCUGACGGUUGGAACAAGAACUCCAUGGUGAUGGCAUGUGGAAUUCCAAACUACCCUGCUGUCCGGUCCAGGGCUGUAUGGGCAGAUCUCAGCAGAGGAAGCUUCAGUAAUGCUCCCAAACAAUACUCACAAGAAGAAUCCUCUUCAGAAUUGAAUGUUUGGAAUGGGAGGCAAAGGAGGCUGUCCUGGGUCUGUUUGGAGACGUGGGGAGGCGGGGCUCCGGUACGUGUGCAGCCUCCUCAUCCAGGCAGCUCUCCACUCCUCGCCAUCUCUUUGCUUCCUUUUUUAUUCCCAUUCUCCUCCCCAUCCCUGUUUCCUACAGAGUCACAUUCUCUUUCUUCUUAUUCAACCCUGCUUUCCGUAUAA